rnacentral:rRNA from 1 species
UACGUAGGGAGCGAGCGUUGUCCGGAAUUACUGGGUGUAAAGGGUGCGUAGGCGGCCUUGCAAGUCAGGCGUGAAAACCAUGGGCUCAACCCGUGGACUGCGUUUGAAACUGUGAGGCUUGAGUGAAGUAGAGGUAGGCGGAAUUCCCGGUGUAGCGGUGAAAUGCGUAGAGAUCGGGAGGAACACCAGUGGCGAAGGCGGCUUGCUGGACGAAAACUGACGUUGAGGCUCGAAAGCGUGGGGAGCAAACAGG